rnacentral:rRNA from 1 species
CACACCGCCCGUCACACCAUGGGAGUUGAUUGCACCAGAAGCACGUAGCCUAACCGCGAAGGGGGGCGCGUACCACGGUGUGUUCAAUGACUGGGGUG